ensembl:lncRNA
CAAGAGGUUUCACAAAAACAACCAGCUUUAAUUAAAUUAACAGGUUUUCUCAACAUCUGGAUGGCUUUUAGUGAAGAACUGUCUGCUUUUGUCAGCUGAUGAGCGAUUAAAAACUUUGACAGCCAAUCAGAAUCAAUCCUGCUGGAGAAUUUAAAGUGGUAGAUGAGCGUUUGCUUAGAAUAAACAGACGAUAUCGUCUGCUGCUGUGGAUGUUGUGUCUUUGAAUGUCUUUGGAGUGGAAGAUGAAGCUGUGAGGAGCAUCAAUGCACUGAAGCUGAGCUGCAGAAACACGCUUAACACGAGUCCAGAGUCCAGACAGAAGCAAUGCACCCUGGGAAUCAAGUGCAGCAUUUUUCCCCAAUCAGACGCUGAUUAUGAAUGUGAGAGGACCCUCGGCUCGAGCAUUGAUGGCUUCUCUGUCAUUUUUACACAGUGGACACACUUGAGAUUGUUUGGCAGCUCGGUGAGAGGGCCUCUGCUGAACUGGCGAGCCAAACAAAUCAGCAGCUCACAGUCAGUGCGGUGAUCACCAAAAGCACAUUCACAGAGGAUGAUGGGUGGACGGAUGUCGGCUCUCUUUUAUUAAAGCUCAUCUCUGCGUGUAAUUGGCUCAGAGAUGGCUGAUAAUCUGCCGUGGAAGAUAUUUGUCUCCGACUUGUUCCGUGUCCUUCUCAGCUGGAGCCAAAUUAUCAUACUCUCAAAAUGAAGAUCUAUUCCUGGAAUAUUCUUGGAGCAACACCGAAUCAUCAGACGGAUUGCAUUAAUAUAACUGUUUUAAUUCUUCAUGUCUGCUCACCAAAACGUCUGAAAAACUGUGAACAAUAAUCAAAUAUUCAUGCCAUCUGGAGUCGUGGCGUCUUGAUAGUUCAGGAAUUGGGACGGUUAUGCAAUAAUAGCAGGUUUAAUUGGAUUAGUACAUAGCAGAUCUUUGAAUCUGGAUCACAUUACAGCCUGUUUUGACAAAGAAACACUCACUGCUUUAAGCGUAAUUUGGCAACACCUUACAAAAGGGUUCCAGUUGUAUCUCCAAUUCAGUUUUUUUUUUUCCCGCCACGGAAUAUUUAAUAAAAAAUUAAUUGUGACUUUUUAUCUAGAGUUUCUCAGUUUAUAUCUCUCAAUUAGGACUUUGUUUGUAAAAUAUUAACUUUUUUCCUUGCAAUUGUGAGAUUACAUCUUAUAAAAGUUUUUUUCAUGUCUCCUCUGUGGAAUAAAAAAGUGACUUUUUAUCUCACAAUUCUAAAUUGCUUUCUCACAAUUGGAAAUCUCACAAGAAAAAAAGGCAAAUUCUAUUCAAGUUCUAAUUCUUUUUUAAUUUCCAACACAUAAUAAAAAAUGUAAUUGCAUCUUUUUUUGUAACUAUGUUUGUUCGUUGUUGUUGUUUUCUUGCAGUUGUGAGAUAAUGACUCACAAUUGGGACACUUCUUCUCAGAAUUGCAAAUUUAUAAUUCUGACUUUAAAAAAAAAAUGUGAGGAUAAAAGCUAAAAAAAAAAAAAAGGUUCCUGUAGUGAAACAGGCUUCUAUAGUCAACAACAUUCAAUUAAAAAUACUUCUAAAGCAUUUAUUAAUCUUAGUUCAUGUUCAUUUUAGUGUUUACAAAUACAUUAUUCAAAUCAAAAGUUGUAUCUAUGAAUAUUAUUUAAUGGACCUGAUCUAACAUUUGCAUUUUUAUUAAUUAACUUUAACAAUAAUUAAUAAAUACUGUAACAAACAUAUGUUUCAUUAACUAAUGGGUUAUUGUAAAGUGCUGUUACCCAAAAAGAAAACAUUUGCGAAAGAAAAUAAAAUAAACGUAAUUUAAAGUGUAUUCUUAUAUAUUUCACAAUUUGAUUUAAAAUUGUUUUAAGGGUGUUUAGAUGGAAAACAAGUCAACAAUAAUGAUCACUGAAAUGAAAUAAUGAAAAAUAAGCACUGUGUUUUACCUUUAUACCUGCCUAAAAUCUGUCAGUUUUUUCAGGUGAUGCCUGCAGAUUGUGGACGUACUAAACAAACUUCAUUGGGAUGAAUAGAAAUGGGAACGUACGGCUCUCUCCUGGUACACUGAAACUCACCGGACCGAGGAACGUCAAAAGAUGUCUCUGGAAAUUUCACUCUAAUGGACUGGAGUUUGGGGCAAGCAAUGCCAAAUAAUUAAAAUGCACAAAUGUCCCACCGUGUGAAACCACCCACCUGGCAACAUGCGAGGGCAACAGCUGGUCAGACAUCUCACGCUGCUUAAUUACCGCUGACAUUCCCGCGGCUCUUAAUAAAGGUACAUGGAAAUGACAUGAAAAGAAUUUGCAGUCUUACAGCAGUGUUCCUGCUUGACAGCUGGGAAAUCAGGCUUUAGAGAUCAACAACAUGACCAAAGUUUUGCAUUGCAGGAUUUUACAAUACACUCUCAAAAACAAUGUGCAUAUACGUUAAAGGAUCAUAUUUGUACUUAAAGUCUACAUAUUAGAACCUUUUGUAAGGGUACUGCCCCAG